rnacentral:lncRNA from 1 species
GGUUUUGUCUUAGAUAACAGGUUUGAGCCUUGUGUGAUACACUAGAGCCAUGCACAUGGUUAACUUAGGUAGGCUAAAUGACCAACUUCAUCUAUUCGUGGUUCACGCAAUGUCUAAACCAAAGGUGAUAUAGUUGUUAGAAUAUGUUCCUGAUAAUACAUAUGAAGUAGAAGUUGAAGUUGUGUUACGUGAUAGUGGUGAAAGUGUGGG